UUGUUGGCAGUGGGCAGCUUCAGGACAAUAUUUAUAAAGCACACUAGUUCAUACUUACAUUCUCACUCAGGUUUUCUGAAAGCUGAAAGCACUUGGUAAAGUAAAAUGGAGGCUAUUAAUGAGUUUGCUUUGCUACAUUCAUGACCCUCCAUAUGAAUUCAGAAGACUGAUCAUGAAACCUCAAGUUCUUAGUAUGUCAGAGCAGUUAUAUUUUAGGAACUGGGAUAAUCCGGGUUGGCUGGUGAUGUAAACUUUGCAGUAUCUUGUUAGUUCCUGGAAAUAAGAUACUAGACACCUUGGUGACCUCCAGGUCCAUUAGAACCCAGAUUCCUGCCUUUGUAGCUUAGGGUCCAUACAAACUCUGGUUCUGAUCUCUUCUGAGGUAUAUCUUCCUAUUCCUCUUGUGGGGCUCCCUGCAAAGCUUUCAUAGACGCUAGAUCUCUCAUUCCCAACUAGUGCCCUGGGCCGAAAACCUUAAUUUCUAUCAUCUCUCAAGUCCAUUUGAGCUUUAAGAUUCCAUGACAUGCUGCUUCUCCUUCAGUUCCUGCCACUGCUCUCUCCCUGGCAUCUAACCUGUCUCCAUGUCUCAUCGGGUCUGCAGCUGAAGUGUCUUCCAGUCACCGCUCACCUUCCAUGUGGAUCACUGCUGACACUUCAGUUGAAACCCUGCUGCCACUGGCCUUCCGCGGCCCCUCAGCCCAGCUAGUCCCAUGUCGAAUAUAAAAUGUUUCCAAGGCACUGCUCCCGUUUAGAGAAUACCCAGAUGCCCUUAGUGCAGUGAGAGAGAAAGGUGGUUCACAAAGUUAACUCAUACACGCUAACAGGUGCUGAUGGUGACUCAGUGUUUACUUGUGGUACAGCCUCUACAAUGUGUUAGAGAUGGGUUCUGUAA
rnacentral:lncRNA from 1 species